AUGCAUGCCGGCGGAGGACCCGCCACCGGCCACUCACUACAAGCCAACCGUGGCCUCAGAUCAGGCCGUCUCCCCACCCUGGACACAGGCACACCCGGGGCACAGCCUGCAGGGGAUCCCGAGCCACGGGGGUCUGCACCCUUGUCUCCAAGCUCUUGCGUCUAUCAGCUGCUGCUGUGCUUCGGGUCCCGUCUGGUCUCUGACAGCCCCCCGCACGGUCACCUCUUCCGCCCAGGGCCACAUGGGAAGCAGAACCACACCUCACCAGGAGCAGACACGGUCCUUCAUGGGAAGGGCGCACUACCACCACUCCCAGCAUGGGCAGCCUUCCCCGGGCCCCAGGGCCGUGAGCGGGAGCCAGUAGGGUGUGCAAGAGCUCAGAGCGCCCUCAGAUCCAGCAACCCCCCAGCAUCUCCGUGGGGCUCUGCCUCACCACGCUGGACAGUGCCAGUCACUCGGCCCUUCCUUCCUGCUUCCGAGGCACCUUCCUGUUAUUCCUUCAAAGCAGACAAACAGGAUCUUUCCCUGGUGACAACUGCCAGACCACCAGCAGGGCAGCUCCCCUGCCUUGCGUGUGGCCACAGGACACUUCCACUGGGGUGCAGGUGGGCGAGACCUCAGGGCAGGUACUGGGGCCAGCUUUUUGCACUGGGACCACAGGGUCAGGAGGGUAACGUCCUUCAAGGGGACACACACACAUGCAGCUUCCAAGCACAGCUGGGGGCCCUUCUUGGGAGGAUCCCCGGGAUAGGAGGUCAGGGGAAGAACAUUCCGGAAGGAAGGCGCCUCCUCGGCCCAGGCUGGGACACGGGGAGGCGCCAUCCUGUUUUGAAGCUAAGGAAGGUCCCUUCUGUAGACAGUCACGCACUUGAGCCGCACUCUGGCAAUCGCGGCAAGGACCUCUGGGGCGACAGCAUUUGGCCCCCUUCCUCCCAGGUGCCCGCAAUGGAACAGCUCCUGCUUCCCCAGGACCUCGCGCACUCUGGAAGACCGUGCACCUAUAGGAUGGAAGCAGUACUCAUCACCUUGGAGGGCAGAAGGAUGCUGGUCAGCUGCUCUGUGGGGACAUACAAGGAAGUCAAGAAUUCAUCUGAACAGCCACUCCCUCCCCCUCCAACUGACCUGGACACGCUGGCUUGGAUCAGGCCACCUGGAGGAGGAAUGCUGGCUCCCCCUGCCCCUGCCACCCUGCACUGCCCUCAGGUGGCCCUGAGAGAUGCCUGAGACAGCUCAAGAUGGUGCUGGGUGGGUCCAGAUCCCACCCCUGCCCCAGUCGUCAAGUCCUAAACGCAGCCCAUCCAUUUACUCUCCCAGCC
rnacentral:lncRNA from 12 species